CUGACGCUGAAGGCACGAAAGCGUGGGGGAUCGAACAGGAUUUAGAUUACCCUGGUAGUCCAACGCCCGUAAACGAUGAUCCACUUCGCUGUUUUGCGAUAUACAGCAAGCGGCUGAGCGAAAGCAUUAAGUGAUCCACCUGGGGAGUACGAUCGCAAGGUUGAAACUCAAAGGAAUUGACGGGGGCCCGCACAAGCGGAGGAACAUGUGGUUUAAUUCGAUGAUACGCGAGGAACCUUACCUGGGCUUAAAUGUAGGCUGCAUUCGGCUGAAAGGCUGAUUCCCUUCGGGGCUGCUUACAAGGUGCUGCAUGGUUGUCGUCAGCUCGUGCCGUGAGGUGUCGGGUUAAGUCCCAUAACGAGCGCAACCCUUAUCGUUAGUUGCCAGCGGGUUAAGCCGGGGACUCUAGCGAGACUGCCACCGUAAGGUGAGAGGAAGGUGGGGAUGACGUCAAAUCAGCACGGCCCUUAUGUCCAGGGCUACACACGUGUUACAAUGGCCGAUACAAAGGGCAGCUACUUCGCGAGAAGAUGCUAAUCUCUAAAGUCGGUCCCAGUUCGGAUUGGAGUCUGCAACCCGACUCCAUGAAGUUGGAUUCGCUAGUAAUCGCGCAUCAGCCAUGGCGCGGUGAAUACGUUCCCGGGCCUUGUACACACCGCCCGUCAAACCAUGGGAGCUGGGGGUGCCUGAAGUCUGCCACCGCAAGGAGCGGCCUAGGGUAAAACCAGUGACUGGGGUUAAGUGGUAACAAGGUAACCAAGGGCGAA
rnacentral:rRNA from 1 species